rnacentral:lncRNA from 1 species
UUAUUGUGAAGCUCUUGAGAUGCGUGCAUAUUUAAAAGUUCAUAUUUACAACCUGGAAUGUAUUAAAUUAAUUGGAAAUAAUUUGUAUGGAUGAAAUAUUGAUAUUAUUCACUGGCUUUUUCUUUUACUGCUGAAUUUUCCUUAAAUCCUUCUCCAGUUGCAACAUUCCCAAACUUGAGUGGCACCAUUGACAUAAAAAGCAAAACACAGAGGCUGCAUUUUUUCAAUGUAAAUAAUUUGUCAUGCAAUGACAGUUAUCUACUUAUCUACCAGUUAUAAAGUUAUCUAUAUUAUAAAAUAAGACCUGGAUGUUCCAGUUGGAUUUCAUCACACCAUUCCUGGGAAGGAUUAAAGCCGGUUACAUCUUGCCAGCUAUCAGGAGACACUCCCGUGAAUUCAUCAGGACUAUUUUGGCUCCAAAUAUUCCCGGAGCUUCAAAAAAACUGGGUCCGGACGAUCCGUUGUUCAUGCCAGCAAAGGUUUCUACGGGGAGUUUGUGGUGUCAGGGUGCUAGUGGAAAGACCCUCGGAGGCAGAAAGAGGAGACGAGAGGACGAGAAACAGUCAGAGGAAGAGGGUUUCAUGUGGGGUACAGGUAAGAACAUCCACUAAUAUCUAUUUCUGUUUGCAGUCUCAAGUAAACACAUCCAAAUGCAAACUUUUUCCCUGGAGAUUCUUUUUGCCACACAGGCAGAAAUGUAUAGCAUUCGUGUGUACUCAUAUGUUUAUAACACACUAAGAACACUGAAGCUUAUUUAUAUUUUCAGGGUUAAAAUUAUUCAUGUACUAUGGCAUUUCUGAUAUACAUAGCAUGCAAGACAUAGAUUAAUAGUAUAGGAGAUGUGAUACGUCUCAUGGAGUGUUCAGCAUAUAGUCUUCCUAAUUUAGUCAUGUCAGAGUUGUCAUUAAAAAGAUUGCAUUUCAUGAAGAACUGCGCACUUCUCCUGGACAUUUGAACUGGCAUUCACUCUAGAUAUAUGCUUCCUCUUUUUUCAUUAUCGGCAAUAAAAGCCAGCCUUCAACAGUUUUGUCACAGCGUUUAUUAUUCUCAUCAAUAAAGCUAGAAUGAGUUUGAUCUAAGAUUUAUAAGCCACUAAAAAAGCCAAGCAAUCGAUGUAUUGUGUGUUUGUGUGAGUGCACAUGCCUGAAGGCUUUGUGUUAAUGUGUGUGUGUGUUUGAUUGAGUGUGCUAGCAAUUUCAGAAGAAAAAUUACCCACAGCCAUUAAUGAACUAUAUUCUGUCAAAAUAUGCCUGGAAUGACCUUUGAAAUAUACCUUUGCUAUGUGAUUUUGCUUUUUACCAAUGUGAAGGACAUAGAAAGGACAUACAUUUAUUUAAUAUCUGUAUUUGGAUGUAAAGU